CAGCCGCCGCGGUAAUACAGAGGGUGCGAGCGUUAAUCGGAUUUACUGGGCGUAAAGCGUGUGUAGGCGGCUUCUUAAGUCGGAUGUGAAAUCCCUGAGCUUAACUUAGGAAUUGCAUUCGAUACUGGGAAGCUAGAGUAUUGGAGAGGAUGGUAGAAUUCCAGGUGUAGCGGUGAAAUGCGUAGAGAUCUGGAGGAAUACCGAUGGCGAAGGCAGCCAUCUGGCCUAAUACUGACGCUGAGGUACGAAAGCAUGGGGAGCAAACAGGAUUAGAUACCCGUGUAGUCCCUGUCUCUUAUAC
rnacentral:rRNA from 1 species